rnacentral:lncRNA from 10 species
CACCACUGCACUCCAGCCUGGGUGACAGAGCGAGUCUCUGUCUCAAAAAAAGAAUCUAGUAUAUACAGUGAACCGAAAGGAUGACUUAAUAAUUACCAUGCCUACAACAAACUACAAAGAAUACAGAGUGUGAUUAUGUCAUAGCUUCCACUCCCUUCUCAGCAGGAAACCUGAGAAGUCCUUUGCCAGGAGGAGCCAAGGGAAAUGUCUCUAUCCUCAGUCGGUUGGCAUCCUUUUCUUUGUCCAGGUUCUCUGCCAUUGGCUGAUCCUCUUCUGCUUCCCACACUGUUCUACGUGCCAGCCAGGUUGGGCCAGGAAGGGCUCUCUGGGAGUUCGAACUGCCACAGCAUCUGCAAAAUUCUCGGCCUCUCUGCUUGCAAGUUCACACCUUGGGGGCAGAAUUCUCAGCAAGCUCGCCUCUAUCCUCUGGCUACCCUCUUCCUCAUUUGUUUCUGUAUAGGUCAGAUUUGGGCCCUUGGGAGGCUUAGAAUCUUCACUGUGAAUUUACUGAAAUGUCCUUGGUAGUUUUGUGUUCCCCAAGAAAUGGCUUUUCUCUCUUUGCAUAAUUUCUCAGGUCCGCAUGCUCCCUAUUCAUAUUUUGUGUGGGUUCCACAAAGAUGACCAAGGAUAGGAAAAUCCAGCUUCUUCUUGUAACUAUUAGCAGUAGCUACCCAUUUAUGGAGCGCCUACUAUGUUCUGGGUAUUAUGUAAGUGCUUUACAUAUCUUUAGUCCUUACAACGAACUUGUGAGAUAAUUCUCAUCAGUCCCAUAUUACAGAUGAGGAAACAGAGAGAAGUUAUAUAAGUUACCCUUGAUCAAAUUGGUGGUAAGCAGAAGUAGUGGGACCUCAUGCAAGUCUGCAGGAUUGAGAAGCCCACACUCUUUCCUUUCCACCAUUUGUCCAGUCACAGUAAACACUUACUGAAGCCCUUUCCUCCCCCAGGCAUUGUUCCUCUCUUGCGGAGGAACAUCCCACGACCCCAUUCUUCCUCCUAAUUCUCUUGAUUUGAGCCAUUGAAGAAAAGAGUUCCCAAAACCUGUGGCAAGGAAAAGGUUUAGAACAGCAAAUAGAAGAAAAAUAACACUUACUGUGGGUGGUAAUUUGAAGUUUGUUAAUCACCAGGGGAAAAAGAACUAUGUGAGAAUUACCAUCUCAGCCAUAUGUCUCUAGUUUACAUAACCCAGGCACUAGCUGGAGCUCUCAGGCAGAGGCAGAGGCAAACAUGUGGGAUCCUGGAAUUCCACUGAAAUAUAAUAGACAACAGGAGGAGCAGGAAAAUGAGUCAUGUUUUUAUAAUUAGUUGUGUUAUUGGACCCAACUUCUCUAAGAAAUCAACAGCAUCAUCCAAUCCCAUCUGGCACAGGAGAAGACAAGAGGCUGACAGAUUGUGUGAUAGUCCCUGGAAAUCGGUGGUGAUAUAAAGACCUAGGAUCUAAACCUGCAGGAAAAAAAUUAGUGGCCAGCUACCUCCCUUAUUUGCAGGCUGUUGAAAUACUCUUAAUUUUACUGAGAGCCAAAGCAAACUUAUCUCACUGGGAAAAAAAAAAAAAAAAGCAUAGAAAGAGAGAACUGAUAUAGUAAAACCCAAUUGCCAUGGCUGGACUGGUGCCCAAGCAUGAAAGAAGUUUAGGUUAUUGUAUUUUAAAGGAUCUCUUAGAUUGGCAAAACUGUGGGUAGCACAUUUCUGCUUCUUCACUAAUAAAUGAAUCUUGAUUUUGUUCAGAUGAUCAGAGCAAUUUGUCUGGAGAAGGUGGAUUCUUCCCUUAGACCCAGGAGAGGAACCAUGAUCAGCCUGAUCCCUUUCCUCUUUGAAAAUGAUGGAUUUAGCCAAUGUGUUGGCUGACACAACCCAGUGCUCAGCAAGGAGACAUAAGUGAAAGACUCCUAGUGAUUUCUGAAAAGGUUUUCCUCUCUAACAAGGAAAGACACUUAGGAGAAAGAAAGCCUGGGACACUUUUUACCUGUCUUUGGAUAUUUUGUUUAAAGAUAUGAUGAAUGGAGCUACUGUAGCCAUCUUACCACCAUGAGGAGAGACAAUGCUGUCACACUGAGAGCUACAAAAUGAAAGAUGGAAAAAGCUAGAGGUCUUGGUUUCAUCACUGCACCCCCAAUCAACCGGAACCAUAUACCUGCUACCUGCAGAGUCAAGUGAUGUAAAAACUGCUUCAUGGUUUCAAUCACUUUUUCUUUAAUCUCCAUGAUACACCGGAUAAAGAGAAACAGCUUGAAGUUGACACAUUAUGCAAGAGAAAAAGAAAUGUCUCAUCUGAACCAGGAUGAGACUCUGUUGAUGCCAGGACCUCUAUCUGUUGGGCUGUACUGCCUCCACGGGAAUUUAGAAACUGAACAGAUGGCACAUAUUUAUUGAGCACCUACCAAGUGCCAGGCACUGUUCUGGAUCACAGGAGUAAACAAUGCAGAAAGGUCAUUGUUGUCAUGGAAAUCACAUUCUGGAAGACAGAUGAUAAACAAAAACACAAUUAAGGAUAGGUGAAAACACUCUUAGGCAACUUUCUAAGUAUUGGUUCAAGCCAGUCCUGAGUGAAACCCUGACUCUGGAAUCAGAUAGAACUGGAUUCAAAUUCCACCCCCACCAUUCACUGUGACCUUGGGAAAGUUAUUUAGUCUUUCUGAGUAUCAGUUUCCUCUUCUGUAAAAUAACGAUAAUAAAAAAAACUAACUCAGCCGGGCAUGGUGGCUCACGGCUGUAAUCCCAGCACUUUGGGAGGCUGAGGCAGGAGGAUCCCUUGAGCCCAGGAGUUUGAGACCAGCCUGGGCAACAUGGUGUAAUACUGUCUUUACAAAAAAUUAGCCACUUCUGGUGGUGUGUGCCUGUGGUCCCAGCUACUUGGGAGGCUGAGGUGGGAGAAUCACCUCAGCCCGGGAGGUCAAGGCUGCAGUGAGCCAAGAUCGUGUCACUGCACUCCAGCCUGAGUGAAAAACAAAAAACAAUACAACCUCAUAGGGUUAUUGUAUUACAUAUUAAAUAAGCAGACAAACUCUCUGUACAGUCCUUACAUGGAGCCUGACACACAGUCAGUCUUACUAGAUUAUGGAUCAUCACCAUUGUCAUCAUCAUAAUAAUUUGUGCUGUCAUAGUAAUAAUUUGUGCAACAACAAUAAUAAUAAUAAUGCUGUGGGUAUCAAAUGAUAAACAAGACAUAGACCCUGCCCAUUCAAAAAAUCGUGGCAGCAAGAAUCCAGAUUUGGCCAUAGAAUGGUCAGAAGUUAGGCAUUGAAUUAGGCAGGAAACAAAAGAAUUCCUCUGGUAACCAAGGUUGGGUUAACCUGGGCCCCCUGUCUCUACUCUUUCCCACACAUGUUUUAUAACCGUCACCCCCUUUUCCAAGAGGGAAAGAGGUAUUCUGAAUGAGCGCUGCUCUUCUUUCACAUAUGGCUACUGUUCCCAAGAGACUCAAGUGGGCUUUCUCUUUCUCUGCUGAAGUGAAUAAUAUAGGGUGUGGCUCUCUGGAUGGCACUUACCGGUUUGUGCUACAAACCAGCAAAUACACACAGAUAAUCCCACAGAUGAUCUCACCAGACCUUGUCUCCCUUCCCUCAUUCCCUCAAAAUCAUACCCACCUAAUAAUGUUUAGUGCACUGCAAUUGAGUAUUAGCUCCCGUAUCUAGCUAAUAAAAUACGUAAACAUCCAACAGCCGGGUCCUCACACCCACACACAUACCCUCGCCUUUAGAAACAUUUCCACGGAUUGUCACACGAGCCCCUAAACUCUCUGUCACACUCUGCAUGCAUCUUCCCACAGACUUGCUCACACACUGGC